rnacentral:rRNA from 1 species
CGGGAUGGUAAGUCAGUGGUGAAAGCCCGAGGCUUAACUUCGGGAUUGCCAUUGAAACUACCCUUCUUGAGUAUAGUCGAAGACGGCGGAAUGAGUUAUGUAGCGGUGAAAUGCAUAGAUAUAACUCAGAACACCGAUUGCGAAGGCAGCUGUCUAGGCUGAGACUGACGCUGAGGCACGAAAGCGUGGGGAGCGAACAGGAUUAGAUACCCUGGUAGUCCACGCUGUAAACUAUGAUCACUCGCUGUUGGCAAUAUAAAGUCAGCGGCUGAGCGAAAGCAUUAAGUGAUCCACCUGGGGAGUACGUCGGCAACGAUGAAACUCAAAGGAAUUGACGGGGGCCCGCACAAGCGGAGGAACAUGUGGUUUAAUUCGAUGAUACGCGAGGAACCUUACCUGGGCUUAAAUGUAGAGUGCAUGGAGGGGAAACCUUCCUUUCCUUCGGGACUCUUUACAAGGUGCUGCAUGGUUGUCGUCAGCUCGUGCCGUGAGGUGUCGGGUUAAGUCCCAUAACGAGCGCAACCCCUAUCGUUAGUUGCCAUCAGGUCAUGCUGGGGACUCUAGCGAGACUGCCGGUGUAAACCGGAGGAAGGUGGGGAUGACGUCAAAUCAGCACGGCCCUUACGCCCAGGGCUACACACGUGUUACAAUGGCCGGAACAAAGAGCAGCUCCUACGCGAGUAGAUGCUAAUCUCUAAAACCGGUCUCAGUUCGGAUCGGAGUCUGCAAUUCGACUCCGUGAAGGUGGAU